GUGAAAAGGCUUAAAUAUUUUAAAGGGACGAUAAGACCCUAUAAAGCUUAAUAAUUUAGUAUAUAAUUAGAUGAGUUAAAAGUUUAAUAUUAUUUAUAUACUGAAUUAUUUCGUUGGGGCGACGAUGAUAUAAUUUGUAACUGUUUAAAUCUAAAAUACAGAGAUAUUUGUGUGUAAUGAUCCUUGUUGUUGAUUAAAAAUUUAAGUUACUUUAGGGAUAACAGCGU
rnacentral:rRNA from 1 species